GCUUCUCUUUGCUGCAGAUGCUAUGUGGAGGGCAUUGGGUGUCUUCCUUGGCUUCCAGCUGCUGUCAGGUCUUUGCAGUGGGGUGACGGUGACGCAGAAGGAGAAGUUUAUAGCCAUCCAGAAUGGCAGCAAGGCAAGAAUCCCAUGUGAACAUGAUGACGAAUCUUACAUGACUGUCCUGUGGUAUCAGCAGAAGGCUGCAGAAAGGCAGCUGCAGUUAGUAGCCACCUCUAUAUAUGGGAAUUCAGAAGAAAUGGAAAAAAAGUUCCAAAAUAGAUACAGUGUGGCACGGCCAGGAAAGCUGAACACCUCACUGACAAUCAAACUGGGGAUGGCUGAAGACACUGCAGUGUAUUUCUGUGCAGCUAGCAAAGCACAGUGA